GAAGAAUUGCGGAUGGAGAAUGCAGCCUCCGUGAAUCAACUACUGACGCUCAUACACGAGAGUGUUGAGAGCAGACAGGAUUCUAUCUCCUUUGUCAGUCCACGCCUCUAAGAGAUAUCAAUUAGAUGGGGUGGGAUUCAUUUCGCUAGUAACGUAGGUACACGCGCAAACUUGACCGCCUGGGGGGUACCGUCUCAAAAACACAACUCAAACGAAUGGGCGCGCACCCUCCCGAGCGGUGCAUGGUGUUGAUUAAUUCGAACCAACGAGCAAAACCUUACCUCCCCUUCACAUGUUACCAAUCCCGAUAUGAGCGUUGGCUUUCUCGAAAGAGAACCGACAGCACAGGCAUUGCAGUGCUGUGCUCAGCUCGUGUCAUGAGAUGUUAGGUUCAGUCCCGCAAACAGCCCAACCUUUGUCUUUAGUUCCACUACAAGAGCACUCUAAGGAGACGGCCGUUGACAAAACCGGAGGAAGGUGGGGAUGACGUCAAAUCCUCAUGGCCCUUAUGGGUGGGCUUCACACGUCCUACAAUGGUCGGUACAGAGACUGCCAACCCUCGAGGCGGAGCUAAUCCCAGAAAACCCAUCGUAGUUCGGC
rnacentral:rRNA from 1 species